rnacentral:lncRNA from 10 species
GAAUGAUUGAAUAAAAACAUAUGAAUAAGGAACAUAUUAUUUGGACUGGAGGAGUGAGUUAACUGUCCAGCCCUGGUCAGUCAGCUCUUGAAGGGGUAGUUUCCUGGCAGUGAGGUGGUGAGCCAAGGAGAGGACCACAUUUCUCUGCAUGCAAAUAUCCGUUGCCCAAAGCAUUACAUGGGAAGUCAAACUCAAUCAGCAAACAAUGAUUGCUGAACCUUAUUAAUAUGGUCCGGGAGAUAGAAAAAAGAGUACGGAGGGGUGUCAGAGUCU